AGUAAUAAUACUUGUAGCUUUUUAGUUUCCUUGAAGAACACCUUAGCUAAAUCCCAUACACUUGACAGUUCUUGAAGCUGAGGAUGAAAAAUUGUAAAGUUGCCUUGAUAAAAAGCCAUUUCCCUGCAGGCACUAGCGGGGUUUUGACUAGGCUGAGAAGCCUGGAGUUAGCCCGCUGUUGCUACGCAACAGGAAAGCAUUUGAGGAUUGAAGACUGCUAGAAAGAUACAGGAUCUGCUUGAUCAAGUAGAGAAAAACAUUUUUCCCAACAUGUUGUUUUCAAUUUCAUGUAACAACUUGCCCUUAAAAAUAUAUUUACUUUAAUCCCCGAAGAGAUCUUCCACUGCAUCUUCUUCAUCCACUAAGCAGAUGACCUUACUGUAGAAAGAGAUCAAAUUUCCCUUAAUGGACCCAUGUUCACUAUGUCUGAUAAUAUCAUUAGUCCUCAAAUGACUGACUAGCCUGAAAGUAACACUGAGGAGCUGAGGACUUGAGUGUGUUAGCUGAUGAAAAAUACACCAUGAGCUGGUAACGUGUUCUUGCAGCCACAAAGCCAACCUUAUCAUUGUGGCUGCAUUAAAAGAAAAAUAUCUAGCAAGUUGAGGGAGAUUAUUUUCACCUUUACUCCACUAUCAUAAGACUACAGAAUUUAACCCUGGGGUCCCUGUAAGAGACUAUUCUUUUAUAUCAUUGACUCAAAGUUUGCUGGGGAACAAGUCCAGGCAAGUCCUGGGCAAAGGCAGAGAAAUCUUUUGUCUUGAGGACACUGAUGGACAGGUCCUGGCUGACAAGGCCAGGGGCAUCGAGAGAGAGAUAAGCUGCUGCUAAUGGCCGGGAAGCGGUCUUUUUGUGUGGACUUAUCUCAAGGAAAAUGGCCAUCUCAGGAGGUAUGCACAGGACUCUUGCUCAAGCACCCAGGAAUGUCACGUAGGCAGCAGAAGAUGGAGGAUAAAAGAGGGUCCAAUAACCACAACGGUGGAAGCUGAUCCUUCACCACAACCACGGCAACGGUAGAGGCUUAUCUCUCACCACGACAGACUUGAGGGGUUCUCUGCCAACUGAUCUCUCACCGCAACGGGUAGACGGAUCUCUACGUGGAGACUGAUCUCUCACCACGACACGAGCUUCCUGCCUUCCGAUCCUCCUCUACGGACCGUUUGCUGACGGACUUCCCUGGGCCUGCUACCUGAGACCUGCUACUUCCUCCCUGACCUGCAUCCUCUCGCUGCCCCAGACCGGCCUCGCUGCUCCUGCCCUUUGGCCUCGGACCGUCGGAACGUCGUGCAACGGGACUGCUGCCGGAUCCUGGUGGUGACUAUCCCCGCUUUACGCAAUUCUUGCCUCUUUCUAUCUUUUCUAUCGCUCGCCUUCCCUUCCCCAUCACCCCAAUCCUUAAUAGCGUCCGUCCUCCCCUUUCCCCAUCUCCCUUAUUAACAUUUAUAAUAAACUGGUCGGACCA
rnacentral:lncRNA from 1 species